AACGUGCCGCCCCUCGCCCAGUGGUACAGAGACGGUAAACUGCUGAAACCCAGUAAGCUGGUGGAGAUGGCGUUGGGCGGAGGCACAGCCCGUCUGACGCUGUCCCACCUGGCCAAGGACGACGAGGGCCUCUACACCCUCCUCAUCUUUACUAAGGAUGGCACCGCUGAGCACAGCGCCUACCUGUUUGUCUCAGAUGCCGCUCCCUCUACACCUGGAGCCC